CCUCGGGUGGCAGCAGUGGGGAAUAUUGGGCAAUGGACGCAAGUCUGACCCAGCAACGCCGCGUGAAGGAAGAAGGCUUUCGGGUUGUAAACUUCUUUUAAGGGGGAAGAGCAGAAGACGGUACCCCUUGAAUAAGCCACGGCUAACUACGUGCCAGCAGCCGCGGUAAUACGUAGGUGGCAAGCGUUGUCCGGAUUUACUGGGUGUAAAGGGCGUGCAGCCGGAGAGACAAGUCAGAUGUGAAAUCCACGGGCUCAACCCGUGAACUGCAUUUGAAACUGUUGGUCUUGAGUAUCGGAGAGGCAGGCGGAAUUCCUAGUGUAGCGGUGAAAUGCGUAGAUAUUAGGAGGAACACCAGUGGCGAAGGCGGCCUGCUGGACGACAACUGACGGUGAGGCGCGAAAGCGUGGGGAGCAAACAGGAUUAGAUACCCUUGUAGUC
rnacentral:rRNA from 1 species